rnacentral:rRNA from 1 species
UGAUCCCCUUCGGGGGUGACGCUUGUGGAAUGAGCGGCGGACGGGUGAGUAACACGUGGGCAACCUGCCUGUAAGACUGGGAUAACCCCGGGAAACCGGGGCUAAUACCGGAUAAUACUUUCUUUUGCAUAAAGGAAAGUUGAAAGGCGGCUUCGGCUGUCACUUACAGAUGGGCCCGCGGCGCAUUAGCUAGUUGGUGAGGUAACGGCUCACCAAGGCGACGAUGCGUAGCCGACCUGAGAGGGUGAUCGGCCACACUGGGACUGAGACACGGCCCAGACUCCUACGGGAGGCAGCAGUAGGGAAUCUUCCGCAAUGGACGAAAGUCUGACGGAGCAACGCCGCGUGAGUGAUGAAGGUUUUCGGAUCGUAAAACUCUGUUGUUAGGGAAGAACAAGUUGGGUAGUAACUGACCCAACCUUGACGGUACCUAACCAGAAAGCCACGGCUAACUACGUGCCAGCAGCCGCGGUAAUACGUAGGUGGCAAGCGUUGUCCGGAAUUAUUGGGCGUAAAGCGCUCGCAGGCGGUCCUUUAAGUCUGAUGUGAAAUCUCGCGGCUCAACCGCGAACGGUCAUUGGAAACUGGAGGACUUGAGUACAGAAGAGGAGAGUGGAAUUCCACGUGUAGCGGUGAAAUGCGUAGAGAUGUGGAGGAACACCAGUGGCGAAGGCGACUCUCUGGUCUGUAACUGACGCUGAGGAGC